rnacentral:rRNA from 1 species
UACGGGGGGGGCAAGCGUUGUUCGGAAUUACUGGGCGUAAAGGGCUCGUAGGCGGCCAACUAAGUCAGACGUGAAAUCCCUCAGCUUAACUGAGGAACUGCGUCUGAUACUGGAUGGCUUGGAUUCGGGAGAGGGAUGCGGAAUUCCAGGUGUAGCGGUGAAAUGCGUAGAUAUCUGGAGGAACACCGGUGGCGAAGGCGACUAUCUGGACAGAUACUGACACUGAGACACGAAAGCGUGGGGAGCAAACAGG